rnacentral:rRNA from 1 species
GACGAACGCUGGCGGCGCGCUUAACACAUGCAAGUCGAACGGAAAGGCCUGCUUUCCCUUGUGGAUUGCGGGUACUCGAGUGGCGAACGGGUGAGUAACACGUGAGUGAUCUGCCCCCAACUUGGGUAUAAGCCUGGGAAACUGGGUCUAAUUCCCGAUAGGACUGCAGGGUGGUGCCUGUGGUGGAAAACGAUUUUCUAGUGGUUGGGGAUGAGCUCGCGGCCUAUCAGCUUGUUGGUGGGGUAAUGGCCUACCAAGGCGGCGACGGGUAGCCGGCCUGAGAGGGUGGACGGCCACAUUGGGACUGAGAUACGGCCCAGACUCCUACGGGAGGCAGCAGUGGGGAAUAGUGGACGAUGGGCGGAAGCCUGAUGCAGCGACGCCGCGUGGGGGAUGACGGCCUUCGGGUUGUAAACUCCUUUCGACCGCGAGGAAGCCACCUGGUUGGAAGGGUGGUGACGGUAGUGGUAGAAGAAGCACCGGCUAACUACGUG